rnacentral:rRNA from 1 species
GACGAACGCUGGCGGCGUGCUUAACACAUGCAAGUCGAACGGAAAGGCCCCUUUGGGGGUACUCGAGUGGCGAACGGGUGAGUAACACGUGAGUAACCUGCCCUUGACUUCGGGAUAACUUCAGGAAACUGGGACUAAUACCGGAUAGGAAUCCUUGCUGCAUGGUGGGGGUUGGAAAGCUUCGGCGGUUUUGGAUGGACUCGCGGCUUAUCAGCUUGUUGGUGGGGUAGUGGCUUACCAAGGCUUUGACGGGUAGCCGGCCUGAGAGGGCGACCGGCCACAUUGGGACUGAGAUACGGCCCAGACUCCUACGGGAGGCAGCAGUGGGGAAUAUUGCACAAUGGGCGGAAGCCGGAUGCAGCAACGCCGCGUGCGGGAUGACGGCCUUCGGGUUGUAAACCGCUUUCAGCAGGGGCGAAGCUUGUGGUGACGGUACCUGCAGAAGAAGCACCGGCUAACUACGUG